rnacentral:rRNA from 2 species
GUUGGUGAGGUAAUGGCUCACCAAGGCGACGAUCCCUAGCUGGUCUGAGAGGAUGACCAGCCACACUGGAACUGAGACACGGUCCAGACUCCUACGGGAGGCAGCAGUGGGGAAUAUUGCACAAUGGGCGCAAGCCUGAUGCAGCCAUGCCGCGUGUAUGAAGAAGGCCUUCGGGUUGUAAAGUACUUUCAGCGGGGAGGAAGGUGUUGCGGUUAAUAACCGCAGCAAUUGACGUUACCCGCAGAAGAAGCACCGGCUAACUCCGUGCCAGCAGCCGCGGUAAUACGGAGGGUGCAAGCGUUAAUCGGAAUUACUGGGCGUAAAGCGCACGCAGGCGGUCUGUCAAGUCGGAUGUGAAAUCCCCGGGCUCAACCUGGGAACUGCAUUCGAAACUGGCAGGCUUGAGUCUUGUAGAGGGGGGUAGAAUUCCAGGUGUAGCGGUGAAAUGCGUAGAGAUCUGGAGGAAUACCGGUGGCGAAGGCGGCCCCCUGGACAAAGACUGACGCUCAGGUGCGAAAGCGUGGGGAGCAAACAGGAUUAGAUACCCUGGUAGUCCACGCCGUAAACGAUGUCUACUUGGAGGUUGUGCCCUUGAGGCGUGGCUUCCGGAGCUAACGCGUUAAGUAGACCGCCUGGGGAGUACGGCCGCAAGGUUAAAACUCAAAUGAAUUGACGGGGGCCCGCACAAGCGGUGGAGCAUGUGGUUUAAUUCGAUGCAACGCGAAGAACCUUACCUGGUCUUGACAUCCACAGAACUUUCCAGAGAUGGAUUGGUGCCUUCGGGAACUGUGAGACAGGUGCUGCAUGGCUGUCGUCAGCUCGUGUUGUGAAAUGUUGGGUUAAGUCCCGCAACGAGCGCAACCCUUAUCCUUUGUUGCCAGCGGUCCGGCCGGGAACUCAAAGGAGACUGCCAGUGAUAAACUGGAGGAAGGUGGGGAUGACGUCAAGUCAUCAUGGCCCUUACGACCAGGGCUACACACGUGCUACAAUGGCGCAUACAAAGAGAAGCGACCUCGCGAGAGCAAGCGGACCUCAUAAAGUGCGUCGUAGUCCGGAUUGGAGUCUGCAACUCGACUCCAUGAAGUCGGAAUCGCUAGUAAUCGUGGAUCAGAAUGCCACGGUGAAUACGUUCCCGGGCCUUGUACACACCGCCCGUCACACCAUGGGAGUGGGUUGCAAAAGAAGUAGGUAGCUUAACCUUCGGGAGGGCGCUUACCACUUUGUGAUUCAUGACUGGGGUGAAGUCGUAACAAGGUAACCGUAGGGGAACCUGC